rnacentral:rRNA from 1 species
GAUGAACGCUGGCGGCGUGCCUAAUACAUGCAAGUCGAGCGAACAGACGAGGAGUUUGCUCCUCUGACGUUAGCGGCGGACGGGUGAGUAACACGUGGCUAACCUACAUAUAAGACUGGGAUAACUUCGGGAAACCGGAGCCAAUACCGGAUAAUAUAUUGAACCGCAUGGUUCAUUAGUGAAAGACGGAUUUGCUGUCACUUAUAGAUGGAUCCGCGCCGCAUUAGCUAGUUGGUAAGGUAACGGCUUACCAAGGCAACGAUGCGUAGCCGACCUGAGAGGAUGAUCGGCCACACUGGAACUGAGACACGGUCCAGACUCCUACGGGAGGCAGCAGUAGGGAAUCUUCCGCAAUGGGCGAAAGCCUGACGGAGCAACGCCGCGUGAGUGAUGAAGGUCUUCGGAUCGUAAAACUCUUUUAUUAGGGAAGAACAAAUGUGUAAGUAACUAUGCACGUCUUGACGGUACCUAAUCAGAAAGCCACGGCUAACUACGUG